GAUAUUAAAACAGUCAUUGAAGCCUUGAUGUCAGAGCAAAGACGCCCUCAGGGAAGAUUUCCAUACUUGAGACUUGAAAUCCUAGAAUGCAUGAGCAGAACGGCAAGUCAGUUACGUAUGUUACGGCAUCAUGUUAACUCUUUUGCUCCUCCGGCCAGAGAUCCGAAGAUAGAUGGAAUUUAGUUAUAUUUCUUUCUAAGU
rnacentral:lncRNA from 1 species